rnacentral:rRNA from 1 species
UACAGAGGGAGCAAGCGUUGUUCGGAAUUACUGGGCGUAAAGGGCGCGUAGGCGGCUGGGUCAGUUUCGUGUGAAAUCCCUCGGCUCAACUGAGGAACUGCACGGAAUACUGCCCGGCUUGAGUUCGGGAGAGGGAAGCGGAAUUCCGGGUGUAGCGGUGAAAUGCGCAGAUAUCCGGAGGAACACCAGUGGCGAAGGCGGCUUCCUGGACCGUGACUGACGCUGAGGCGCGAAAGCUAGGGGAGCGAACGGGAUUAGAUACCCCCGUA